GGGGGUUGGAACUUCCAGUCACACCCCUGACCUCCAGGAGAGGAGAGGAGAGGGGCUGGAGGUUGGAUCAAUCACCAAAGGCCAGUGGUUUAAUCAAUCAUGCCUUAUGCAAUGAAGCCUCCAUAAACCUCCCGAAGGACAGGGUUUGGAGAGCUUCUGGGUCGGUGAACAUCUGGAGACUCCGGGAGAGUGGUGCAGCCCUGUGCGUCUCUUCAUCGGCUGCUCGGGAGCUGUGUCCCUUAAUAAUAAACCAGUGAUCUGCCAAGGUGUGGAAAUGACCUAAAUGUGCAUCCACAGAUGAACAGAUAAAAAUCAUAUUCAUCAAUGCACGAGUUUUCCUCCGAAGCCCGGGUGGUGCUACUGAUUUUAGUAGAAAUGAAAAACAAGAAUCCCCAAAUUUCAGAUGCAAUUUUGCUAAAUGAUAUGUGGAUGUUACAGCCCUUGGCAGCGGUGAAGGUCUUCGGUCAUCCAGCGGCCUGAGCUGGCCCCUUCACCUCUAGGGGGGUGGAUGAGAGUCUCCUUGAGCAGCCGCACACUCCAGCUGUGCUCGGGACCCUCAGACGUGGCUUUACAGGAAUACCUAAAGCAAGCAAACAAGCAUAAUUUCGAAUGAAAUCAGGCUUUCUAGUGAAGGAUUCAAAAACAGUCCAUGUUCUUGGCCUCUGCUGCCCGUGUGGGCCCCAGACUCAAUCCCAAGAGAGGACAGGCAGCCUUUCGUUCCUCUACAGAAAAUGUCCACAAGGGCUUCCAAGAACGAAAGGCUCCAGGCUUUAGGCAAGCGUAUCCUGAAGAUAUUUUCAUCACAUUUUACUACCAACUUCCAGAUCCUCAUAAACAAUGAAAAUUGAAGCUCUCUCUAAAUUUUCCAUUUUUCUAAAAUUAAGAAUACAACGC